GUGGGGAAUAUUGGACAAUGGGCGUAAGCCUGAUCCAGCCAUGCCGCGUGUGUGAAGAAGGUCUUCGGNUUGUAAAGCCCUUUUGUUGGGGAGGAAGGGCAGUNGNUUAAUACUUGGUUGUUUUGACGUUACCNACAGAAUAAGCACCGGCUAACUUCGUGCCAGCAGCCGCGGUAAUACGAAGGGUGCAAGCGUUAAUCGGAAUUACUGGGCGUAAAGCGCGCGUAGGUGGUUGUUUAAGUCGGAUGUGAAANCCCCGGGCUCAACCUGGGAACUGCAUUCGAAACUGGCGAGCUAGAGUGUGGUAGAGGGUUGGUGGAAUUNCCGGUGUAGCAGUGAAAUGCGUAGAUAUCGGGAGGAACACCCAUGGCGAAGGUC
rnacentral:rRNA from 1 species